UAGUUAUUAGUGCAGCUUUAAUAACUUUUGCAUCACUGAAGAGUGUCACUGUCACUUGAAUCGUUUGCAAGGCAGCAGUGAUUUCAGUGAGUGUCAGUAUUCCAUGAAAAUACAUUUAAUGAGGUGCAGCUUGGAAGGUCAUUCAGUAAUUACAUGAGCUCCUCCCUUAAAUACUGCUCGUCACAUGUGAGCAGGAUUGGUAGUGUUUUGGGAUGCCACCAGGAGAGAAGUCUUCACCAGAUUUUGCCAGAAAUAUCAGUUCCACUGAUUCUGAUCAACAACUCUAUCAAUGUCUUUAUCAUGUCUCUCUUAAAAUAGAGAUUUAAUCUCAAUAAGAUUAAGUAAAGAUUAAAUAAAGAAAUAAAGAAAGCAGAUACAUUGUGAUUAUUUUGUAAUAAGAGUAGAAAAAACAAUACAAUAAAAGAUGCUAAAUGAUGAAGGUGACAUAGGACAUAAAACAUAAACAAUAUAAAUCUGACUUAUUACCCAUUUAAGUGUACCAACUGUGAUGUCACUUCAUGUGAACUCGACAUGUGUAUCUACAGUAUGUUCCCUGAGGCGUCUGGGAAAACGUGACUGAGCCAGCUUUGUCAGAAACCAUUCCUCAGCAUGACUCCUGUCCUUGAAUGUGACUUCUUCAUCUUCUCUGACCUCUGCAUCAACAGUGGUGAUGUGCAAUGGAUGGAAGGUGAUGGCAAGCAUGUCGCUUAAGGCAAGAGAGGCUGAGUGGAGGAGGACGUGGAGUGAUGAGGACAGAGUGACAGAAAAUGAUUUGGACUACAGAGGCAGACGGUUGCAGCUCAGUCUCAUUUGUGAAACCAAUGCUGAGCUUUGAGCAGUCAGUGCAUGGCUGACAACCAGAGGACACCAGGUCAGCUUCCACCACCUAGCUCGAGGGAAGUGCCACCGCAGGAGAGGAAUUGAUUUUAUCAGGAUUCGGCAAGCGGAAAAAGAAGGGCCACUUGAUUCCAGUCCCUGGGAUGUCCAGUGUCAUCAGUUCACUUUCACAAGACUGGUGAGUAUUAUAAACAAUAUUCCAACUAGCUUUCUGCAUUAACAUACCACACAGAUUCUCAACGAGCAAAAUAACUAGAAUGGCAAGUGUCAAAGGAAGCUUGUAGAUUAAUAUUUGUUGCACUGCUUACUGAUAUAUAUUUAGUUGGUUAAUCCAAUCACUUCAGUAUCAUUCAUUGUGCAUAUGAAUGAAAAAGAGUGAAAUGAAGCUUGGGAGAUGUCUCAAUAAAGGCAUUUAUCAAUAUAUGUUGAUUGCAAUCAAAAAUAAUGCAAUGGUGUUGAUACAUUGAAAUUUGGUUUUGUGAAUUCACACUAUUCACGUUAGCUAACUUAAUAUUAACUUGGUGCAGCGGAUGGAAAUUAACAUGAGCCUUUUGUCUAAAUCUGGCACGUUUACACCAUAUUACAGUGGUAUUGAUUGAUAGCGUCACGAUCAACAGAUCACACAGCGUAAGUCUGGAUCAUCAGUCCAGUGUGGGGCUUAGAGAGCUGUAGAGACCAUGAGGACCAACCUUGGUGUGGAUGAUAUCUGGGUUGUUCUGAGGUGAAGAACGUUCUCUGACCAGUCCAUACCAGUAAGAGCAGUACCAGAUGUCCUACUCAUCCAGUGCAGUUGAAUGACCUGAGGAGGUCACCAGCAUCCAGCUCAGACCUGCUUUACCUGCAUGUCAUCACUGCUCUCCCUGCCUCACCCAUCAAUGCCAGUCCAGGGGAGACAGACAAGGCCCGCAGGUUUGUGAACAGUGUUACGGCUAAAUUUCUUCAUUGUUUAAGUGGUAGCUUUGUACAUGACCGUGACAUAAGGUUUGGUACUCCUGGGCAAUUUUUGUGUGAUGAAGUUAAUUUCAUCCCUACAGUAAACAGUAUUUUUACUCAGUAUUGCUAAGUGUAAAUGUUAUGUUUUUAUUGAAAAUAACACUUUAUCAUCUGUGCUCUUACUAAAGACUUCUCCCGUUGCACCCCAGCCUCCAGAACUUACAUGGACUGCAGCACUGCCUUUUUAAACUACGCAUUACAUAUAAAAGUAAUGUUACUAUGUCUAUACUGUGUGUUAUCAUGUCAACUAUUUUUAUUUAUUGACGCUUAUUACUAUUUGUGAUGUAGGUCUAUUACCGCAUUUCACUAUGUACAUUUGUCUUAGGAUAAUUAAGCUUUACUGCAAUUUUUAACGUGCAGUAAGUCAGUUAUUAAAUUGUUGCUCUAUGUCAGUUGAUUUCUCCUAUGGUAUAAUUCCGGAACUAAGUUUAUUAUCAAUAUGCACAAUAAUCAAAUCACAGGAAGACAUUAAUGCCAUUUUUGUUUGUCAGAAUGUAGAUAAUUCAUUAAAAGGUCAUAUUCAAUGUCGACAACUGUUAUUACAGUUGUUGUUAUUGGCUCUAUUACUAAUACUGACAUUAUUUUUCCUAUAGCUGUCAUUCCUAUUAUUACUAAUUUAUUAAUAUUAACACUACAAUUACUAUUCUACUAUUUAAAAA